AACGAACGCUGGCGGCAGGCUUAACACAUGCAAGUCGAACGGUUGUAGCAAUACAGCAGUGGCAGACGGGUGAGUAACACGUGGGAACCUUCCUAGGGGUACGGAACAACUCAGGGAAACUUGAGCUAAUACCGUAUACGUCCGUGAGGAGAAAGAUUUAUCGCCCUUAGACGGGCCCGCGUCGGAUUAGCUAGUUGGUGGGGUAACGGCCUACCAAGGCGACGAUCCGUAGCUGAUCUUAGAGGAUGAUCAGCCACACUGGGACUGAGACACGGCCCAGACUCCUACGGGAGGCAGCAGUGGGGAAUCUUGGACAAUGGGCGCAAGCCUGAUCCAGCCAUGCCGCGUGAGUGAAGAAGGUCUUCGGAUUGUAAAGCUCUUUUGCCAGGGAGGAUGAUGACGGUACCUGGAGAAUAAGCCCCGGCAAACUUCGUGCCAGCAGCCGCCGUAA
rnacentral:rRNA from 1 species